rnacentral:rRNA from 1 species
GUGCCGCAGGGAAGCCGUUAAGCCUGCCGCCUGGGGAGUACGGUCGCAAGGCUGAAACUUGAAGGAAUUGGCGGGGGAGCACCACAAGGGGUGGAACCUGCGGCUCAAUUGGAGUCAACGCCUGGAAUCUUAUCAGGGGAGACCGCAGGAUGACGGGUCUGCUAACGACCUUGCCUGACUCGCGGAGAGGAGGUGCAUGG